rfam:Oryza glumipatula chromosome 8, whole genome shotgun sequence.
CUUAGGUAAACCUGGGUUUCCGUAUCCAACCUUGACUGUCCAUCUUAUAUGAAAUUUUUUUAUAAUUCAUAUUUUCAUUGUUGUUAGAUGAUAAAACAUGAUUAAUAUUUUAUACGUGACUUGUUUUUUAAUUUUUUUCAUAAUUUUUUCAAAUAAGACGGACGGUCAAACAUUGGGCACGGAAACUAGGGUUUGUCUUUUU